rnacentral:rRNA from 1 species
CAGCAGCCGCGGGAAUACGGAGGGGGCUAGCGUUGUUCGGAAUUACUGGGCGUAAAGCGUGCGUAGGCGGUUCGUUAAGUCUGUUGUGAAAGCCCCGGGCUCAACCUGGGAAUGGCAAUGGAUACUGGCGAGCUAGAGUGUGUCAGAGGAUGGUGGAAUUCCCGGUGUAGCGGUGAAAUGCGUAGAGAUCGGGAGGAACAUCAGAGGCGAAGGCGGCCAUCUGGGACAACACUGACGCUGAGGCACGAAAGCGUGGGGAGCAAACAGGAUUAGAUACCCGCGUAGUCCCUGUCUCUUAUAC